rnacentral:rRNA from 1 species
UACGUAGGGUGCAAGCGUUAAUCGGAAUUACUGGGCGUAAAGCGUGCGCAGGCGGUUCUAUAAGACAGAUGUGAAAUCCCCGGGCUCAACCUGGGAACUGCAUUUGUGACUGCAUCGCUAGAGUACGGCAGAGGGGGAUGGAAUUCCGCGUGUAGCAGUGAAAUGCGUAGAUAUGCGGAGGAACACCGAUGGCGAAGGCAAUCCCCUGGGCCUGCACUGACGCUCAUGCACGAAAGCGUGGGGAGCAAACAGG